UGUGACAGAUAGCUUACUUACUAGACGGGUGAUUUAAAGGUAUUGUAAUCGUGUCACAUUUUAAGCUCCGCUAAAUAACUAAAAGUUAUGAAAUUUAUUUUUACUUUAAUAAUUUACCUGAUAAUUAUUUUCAAGUGGCUUGAAUUGUAAAAAAUGUAAGGAAUUAUUGAGGAACAAUCAAUGUAAAGAAGAUAUAUAUCAGUCAACACAAAUAACGAAACUAGGAUGCAGCACAUCACCGAUCCUUAAAAAAUUUUUACCAAAAUUCAACAACAAGACAAGUUCAAAAUAAUUUGUUCAAAAGAUACUGUGACAUUAGUUACUUAACAGAAAGUUGCUAUUUCAAAGAUGACGAAUCAAUUAUUAAUUCUGACAAUCUCACAACGAAAUACUUUGAAAUUCCUUCUUAUUGCGAUAUUUGUGAUUAAAUGAUAACAAACAAUAAAUGAACACGUAAUA